GCCAGGCGUGGUGGUGGGCGCCUGUAAUCCCAGCUGCUCCGGAGGCUGAGGCAGGAGAAUCGCUUGAACCCGGGAGGCAGAGGUUACAGUGAGCUAAGAUAGCACCACUGUACUCCAGCCUGGAUGACAAAGCGAGAUUCUGUCUCAA
ensembl:misc_RNA Metazoa_SRP Metazoan signal recognition particle RNA